GGAAGCAAAGGAAGCAGGAAAGAUUUUGUCCAUAAACAGUUCACUACAAGUUGCAAGAUAAUUCUGAUCAUCUAGACUACUUUUCAACACUAGUUUCCUACUGUAACAUGGAAAAAUAAUAAGCAGAAAAGUACGAAGAUAGUAAAGUAAUGCCUGGUAAUUCAAGUUUCAACUAUAAAAAGUGAUGCAACAACAUGAGAACAACCUUUAUCAUACCACAACAUGCAGCCUGAGGGAGACU